CCUAUUAAAACUAUCCACCUUCUAUUGCCUCUUUCUUUCUUUCUAUUCCAAAUUUAAAUUUUGUCUUCAUCACCACGGUUAGUUUUUGGCGCUAAUCUAUUUAAGUGUCCAUAUACCCGGAGUACAAUUGCAUUGCAAUCCAACACGCUUUUCAUGGUAAUCGGAAUCAAUAUGCUACCUGUUAUGGUCUUCGGGGCGUGUGACAGAGGUGGUUUGACUGGCAACUUGCCAAUUUCCAUUCCCAAUUACCUCCAUAUUUCGGGUGUGCUUGGGUUUAAUUUGAGUUGUUGUUCUGCUACGAUCGCCAUGGAGCCCUUCCAUCUCUUCAUCACGUUUUUUACUGGGGAAUGAAGAGCUGUGGGGGAAUGAGGAAUUAAAGUCUCCUCAUAAGGAAUUUUGCAGCUAAGUUUUCUUUCUGUUUUUUGCUUUCAAUGGGUUGUAAAUCGUAUUUGAUUUAAUUAGUAAUUUGUUGUGAGCUUUGGUUGUUUAGAUGGUCUUCGUGUCAGGCUUUUUCCAAGUCAAUCCUUUGUUGGAUUCUGGUAAGGUUCUACAUUUUAUAUGAAUUAGUUUACUAAUGGAUUGAAUUUGGAAUUUGGAAAUUGUCUGAUUUUUAGUAUUUGAGCUUAAGGAGCAAUUAACCAUUCUGAACAUUGUACCCGGUCCUCGCAUGUGUACUCCAAAGCGAAACCUAUAUAUGCUUUCAAGGAUGCGGUGUAUCAAAUUGUAACCAAGUCUAAUCAUUUACUAAGAUUUUAUAUUUAUAAAUAAAGCAUGUGUAUGUGUUUUUAAAGUCUAGAACAUGGAGUGUAAAUUUGGAAACAUUUUUUUUUCAAUGAAGAAGAGAUGAUGAAGAAGUUUGACGACCUUAAGAAUGAUAACCUAGCCACAAAAACAUAUGUACUUGACACUACUCAGGUUGCAAUGGAAACUCUUCCUCAAGAUUUGGUUCAAUGUCAGUGGUCUGUUAUGUCUGUACAAUGCAAGUUGUCAUGCCUCAAGAUUUGAUUGGAUCUUUAUUUGCCCUUCUGAAAGUCAUCUCAUUAUGGAAGUUAAAAAUAUUUGACACCCCGAGACAUGUCAAUUAUACUGAGUAAUAGUUGUUGGAUUCAAGCGGUAAAAGGUAAAGAAUAUCAGUUCUAUGUCAUACAUAUUCAACAACUUCAUACUUUACAACUACUCUAUCGCCUUAUGGGCUGCAAG